rnacentral:misc_RNA from 1 species
AACGCACAUUGCGCCCGCCAGCAUUCUGGCGGGCAUGCCUGUUCGAGCGUCAUUUCAACCCUCAGGCCCUGCCUGGUGUUGGAGGACUGCGCACCGCAGCCUCCCAAAGCAAGCGGCGGCGGCGCCCCAUAACCGAACGCAGUAGUUACAUCUCGUUCUGGGUCUGGGUCGUUGUCCUGCCGGAAAACCCCCAUCUUUUUAAUGGUUGACCUCGAAUCAGGUAGGAAUACCCGCUGAACUUAA